rnacentral:tRNA from 1 species
GGGGUUGUGGCUCAAGGGAUAGAGCACUCACCUAGCAUGCGUGAGACACUGGAUUCAAUCCUCAGCACCACA